rnacentral:rRNA from 1 species
UAGGGAAUAUUAGUAAUGGGCGAAAGCCUGAACUAGCAACACCGCGUGUGCGAAGAAGGCCUUCGGGUUGUAAAGCACUUUUUGAGAGGAUGAGGACGGACGGUACUCUCAGAAUAAGUCUCGGCUAACUACGUGCCAGCAGCCGCGGUAACACGUAGGAGGCAAACGUUAUCCGGAUUUACUGGGCGUAAAGCGCGUGUAGGUGGUUUGGUAAGUAGAGCGUGAAAGCUCCUGGCUCAACUGGGUGAGGUCGUUCUAAACUGCCGGACUAGAGGAUGGUAGAGGGAGGUGGAAUUCCGGGUGUAGCGGUGGAAUGCGCAGAUAUCCGGAGGAACACCAGUGGCGAAAGCGGCCUCCUGGACCACUCCUGACACUCAGACGCGAAAGCUAGGGUAGCAAACG